rnacentral:rRNA from 1 species
AUUGAACGCUGGCGGCAGGCUUAACACAUGCAAGUCGAACGAGUGGCGGACGGGUGUGUAAUGUUUGGGAAUCUACCUUAUGGAGGGGGAUAACUACGGGAAAGUGUACCAAAUCCCGCUUACCAUAGGCUGAGACCAUGUGGGAUUAGCUAGUUGGUGGGGGAAAGGGUCACCAAGCCGACGAUCCCUAGCUGGUCUGAGAGGAUGACCAGCCACACUGGAACUGAGACACGGCCCAGACUCCUACGGGAGGCAGCAGUGGGGAAUAUUGCGCAAUGGGGGCAACCUGACGCAGCCAUGCCGCGUGAAUGAAGAAGGCCUUCGGGUUGUAAAGUUCUUUCGGUAGCGAGGCGUUAACUACAGAAGAAGCACCGGCUAACUCCGUGCCAGCAGCCGCGGUAAUAC